UUUUUUGAUAGAGAAAUCACUUUGAAUUAAAUAGUUGACUGAUAGCUUGUAGACCUACAAAAAUUACCAGAAUAGUGCCUUUUUAUAUAUAUACACAUCUUAAAGAAAAUACACCUUAAAAUCCUACUCAAGGUGAAAUAUAUAAAGUAUGAUAGAUAAAUAAUUGUUGAAAAAGUUUCUCUGACUUGUAGCCUCAGGGUGGCUCCAAGUGCCUUGGCGAGGAGUGUUCUGUAAUGGUUGGAAAUUUGAGGAUAAAUUCACAUUCUCAGUAUUUCCACUAUUAUAUUUACUGAAUGGUUCUGAUAAAGUCAAUGCCUUAGUGCCUAUCCUAUUUCAAAUAUAUUUAUAUUUAUGUUUUAAUCCCUGUGUACCAGAAGGUUAAGAUAAAUAACCAUCUAAUCCUCAUUUAAAAGUAAGACAGUUACAGACACAAAAUAUUUCUGUUCAAAAAUACUAAAGUUGGGCCAUGUGCUAGACAGAAAGAAAAAAAUGUAAAUAUAAAAUUAUUCAUAGAAUUCAUGUUUAAACUUUGAAAUUAAUUCCUCAUUUAUUAAAAUGAUUUUAACAGAACUGCACAAUGGAAUUCUUUCCUUUAAAUGAGAUUUAAAUCAGACCAACCUAGAUGAUACAGAAUAGAGGGAUGGUUUUUACUUGUCAGUUUAUUUCAAUCUUCAAAAAUCUUAUACAUUUCCUAAUGAUGACAAAGAUUCAAAGAUGCACCAUUCUUGCUAAAGCAUUUCAGAGUCAUGAAUAAUUUAUCAAAGGAAAAAUAAUUUUAAGAACUUGGAUCAAUGUCAAAAAACUGUUAGAUUUUUGUAAAAAUUUUUUAUAAUUUAUAAAUAAUUAUCACAGUAAUUCAAGUUUCUAAUUGACAUUUAAAUUAUUGAAAUUAUGCAUAAUAAGAGAAACAUAUUAAUUAUCUAAAUUCACACAAAAUGUGAGAAAAUAUAGAAUAACUAAGGGAAAAAAAUCUUUAAAUUAUGCAACAAAAUUUAAGCUGAGGGGAGAACUGCUAUGUGUUAUUCACAUUAGUUUAGUCAAAGUAUUUACAUUUUAGCUUGGUCAAAUUUCUGGAUUUUGGUGGAAGUAUUUUUGUUUAUUUGUUAAAGAAUGAUUACCACUAAGAAUUUCUAAAAAAAAAUUUUUUUAAAGACCUGGUUGAUAAAAGGUUAAGGUGUACAGGUAAGAAUGGAGGUAGCUAGUGGACCAGAACAUGCGUACCUGUACAUCUCAUAAGCAGACAUAGCAUAAGCACCAAUUUAAAAUAAUUGUUAAUAAUACCCAAAUACAUGUAGGAAAACAAACAGCAAUAUUCCACUUAGUUUUAAAAGAUAAGUUUAUCAGUUCUCUGAAAUAAUGCUUUGUGAUCUUACUAAUGUCUUUAAUCCUCCAAGUCUCAAUGUCUUCACCUAUCUAGCAAAGAAUAUUGCAACGAAGAGCUUUUAAUUUUAAAUGAGAUAGUGCCUGUAAAAUUCCUUUGUACACUAUAAAACACUAUACUGACAUAUUUUUUCUAGGAAGUUGGUUAAGUACAUGCUAAAAAUCCUGACUAGUUACAGUUUAUAUUCUACAAUGCAGGUAGUGAACAUUAAUGCAUUAAUCUUAGUGACCAAACAAGUAUGAUUUUUGAAUAACCAAAACGUAGUAAACUUACUGAUAUAGCUCCUUAUUUGCUGAAAAGCCAUAAAUUAUGAAAAACCCUCCCUCUGCAAAUCAGAAUGCUGAUCUGGCAAAGAAGCACAGGAGAGAAGGCAGUUUGUGUGGAAGCCCAUCUGAAACAUGGGACCGAGUCCUCCGUGGCCCCUCAGCCUGCUCGCUCUCUGUGCAGCUCGACAGCUUUCUGUCCAUGUAGACCAUGCCCUGUGAUGGGAAAUUGCAGAGGGGGCCACUUUUUGAAAAAAGUAUGAUGUCGAAAACGGUUGUUUGCACAUCCCUGUGCAUUUUUCCUCCUUCCAAAAAGAGAAUCACGUUCAUAACUAUUAAGAGGCCUUCAUUCUAAAUCACAUUUAAUGAAAAUGAAAUCAUUUCAUGGUUAAAGCUCAUGUAUACUUAAAAAAUCAUCUCUACAAGUAGCUUAGUUACUAGAGUGUUUUCUGAACAACAAAUAUAUUUUUGCAGUGAGGAAACUGGCCCAAGUAGAGGUGAUCUGGGGACAGGAAGAGGUUAUUGUUUGUUCCUAAAUUAUCUGAUUUAGCUAUCUAAGGUUCUCGUCUGGUAGAUUAUUUCACUUCGGCUGUGGAGCUACAAAACAUUGCUUCCAAAAACUAAGAAAAUGCUGAACAACUCAGAGGCUACUCUGCUGUACACCAUCUUCAUAUUUUUAAAAACAUUCUUGUAUAGAAUUAAGUGACAUAUAUCAUAUGGAGUGAUAGUUCUUUAAUUUACCACAAUCUCAAAUAUUCUCUAAAUUUACAUCGAAAUUAUUCUGGGAUACAAAAUAUCUAUUCUUAACUUUGCAUGCAUGCAUGCAUGAGUGCAACUCAUGUACACAGUACUCCAGAGAAAGAUGUAGCUAAAUCCCUUUUACAAAAGAGAACCGAAGUUAUCAAUGCAGGCUAAAAUAUAGGCAAAAAAGUUUGGAAGUUUGAAUGAAAAAACUUGGGUUCUAAACUGUACUCUGAUACUUCUUAUAGAGCCAGUGUGAGUUAUGUAAUGUAUAUGAUCCUCAUUUUCCUUAUCUGAAUAAUGAGAUCACUUGAUAUAUAGGUAUCUCAAAAAUUUUGAAACUUCUAGUAGUAUUCAGUUCAUUUUAGACUCCUUAAAUUGUCUUUAUAUAUUGAAAUCUGGAUAACAGUAGUUCAAUCUAACCUUUAACGGAUUUUUAUUUAAUUUAUUCUAUAAAUUCUUGGUGGUUGUCUUUAACUUCAUACCAUUUGAACUUGAGUACUCCCACUUCAUUUCUGAAAAAUGAAAGAAACAUUUACUCUUUUUAUUUUGUAUAUAUCUCCAUCUAUCAAUAAUCUGAAAUUUACGGUUCUUACAAGAAUUCCCCAAAGUGAUUUUUCCCUCUCAUUUAUAAAAUUGGAUAGCUAUAGUAUACAACACUAAUGAAUUUUAAAAUAUUGAUAGUUUGAUCUUUGAUACUUUCAAACCUAAUAUACUUUACCUGCUUUCAAACUUUUUUUUUCUGUACUCUAUUUUCAGUAAAUUUUAAUUAUCUUUGAAAUAGCAGCUCUUGUUUGAUAUGUAAAAACAAUGUUCCCUUUGUCUUUCUAUCUCCUAUCUACCUAUUCCUUUUAAUAACACCUUGGGUCUAAAAAACAAAUCAUGUUUUCCAUUAUAAUUUCUUAAAGUUGAAUUUAACAUUAAAAUUCAAAAUGUUAAUUUGCAUUUUACUUCUUCUCAGCUAUAUUCAGACAAUCCUAUUGUUAUAACUGUUCAAAAUAAUAAGUAAAUUGUUUCAAACUAUACCCCAAGGAUAAAUGUUUUAAACAGAAAUAUGGAAGUCAUUUAUUGAUUAGGUCAAAAUUAAUUGUGAAAUAAUUUCAACUGAAGAUUUUAACAGUGUGCAUGUUAAAUGUAAAAGAUAAUUAUUUAAAAAUUACCUUCAAAAUAUGUAUUUCAAAUUAAUAGUGUCUUCUGUAUUAAUUUGAAAGUCAGUGUUUUAAUUGUUCUCUGAAUCAGUAUAUUUUUCUAUAUGAAAUUUUUGAAUGACCUGAAAAGAACAUGUACCUCUAGAAGAUGUAUAAGUUAAUUCAUCUUGUAAUAAACAAUUUAUCAUUUAAAAUCUACUGUCAAAAUGCAUUGUUAUGCUGAUGUAUUUUAUUUCUGCAUAUUAAAUUCAUUAUUUUUACCACAUUCUAGCAUCACAAUCAAAACUGAUCUUCUUACCCAGAUAUGUGUUGCACCUGAAAUAACUUUCUGCUUGUAAAUAUUAUAUGUUUCUUCCUUUGUUUUUUUUUCUCUCAUUAUACUAUUUAAGCUGAUUUAAAAUAAAAAUAUGGCCAGAGAGUCAUAGGAUGUUAGAGUUACAGUGGCCUUUC
rnacentral:lncRNA from 1 species